CCGGCGACCGGCGCACGGGUGAGUAACACGUAUGCAACCUGCCCGUCUCAGGGGGAUAAUCGUCGGAAACGGCGUCUAAUACCCCGUAUGAAGCUGGACGGCAUCGUCUGGUUUUGAAAGAAUAUCGGAGACGGAUGGGCAUGCGGCGCAUUAGCUAGUUGGCGGGGUAACGGCCCACCAAGGCGACGAUGCGUAGGGGUUCUGAGAGGAAGGUCCCCCACACUGGUACUGAGAUACGGACCAGACUCCUACGGAAGGCAGCAG
rnacentral:rRNA from 1 species